rnacentral:rRNA from 1 species
AGUCGUAACAAGGUCUCCGUUGGUGAACCAGCGGAGGGAUCAUUACCGAGUUUACAACUCCCAAACCCCUGUGAACAUACCUUAAUGUUGCCUCGGCGGAUCAGCCCGCGCCCCGUAAAACGGGACGGCCCGCCAGAGGACCCAAACUCUAAUGUUUCUUAUUGUAACUUCUGAGUAAAACAAACAAAUAAAUCAAAACUUUCAACAACGGAUCUCUUGGUUCUGGCAUCGAUGAAGAACGCAGCAAAAUGCGAUAAGUAAUGUGAAUUGCAGAAUUCAGUGAAUCAUCGAAUCUUUGAACGCACAUUGCGCCCGCUGGUAUUCCGGCGGGCAUGCCUGUUCGAGCGUCAUUUCAACCCUCAAGCCCUCGGGUUUGGUGUUGGGGAUCGGCUCUGCCUUCUGGCGGUGCCGCCCCCGAAAUACAUUGGCGGUCUCGCUGCAGCCUCCAUUGCGUAGUAGCUAACACCUCGCAACUGGAACGCGGCGCGGCCAUGCCGUAAAACCCCAACUUCUGAAUGUUGACCUCGGAUCAGGUAGGAAUACCCGCUGAACUUAAGCAUU